AUGCAUGCUGUAAAAUCAUUCCUCUCUGGGAAGAGAACAAUUCAAAGAAAUGAUUAAAAGUCCAAAAUUACCAUCACAUUCAUGUCCAUAAUGAGUAUAUGUAACAAAAUGAGCAAAAAUGCCUUCUUUUAUAGGUUUUAAUACCAGGAGAGCAUUCAGAGCUUUAAAAUGCCACUUGUUUCAGAUUUGCAGCUUGACAUCAUUUUGCUUAGCUGUGACUUUUUUGAUUCUAACGAAAGACUGCUUGUUAAACUGUGGCACAGUUCGUCACUGCAGGUGGAGCACAGAACACCUGGGAAUGGCUGAGAUGUGAAACAAAGUUGAUUUUAAUAUUUUUGUUGUAAAAUAAAGAAAAUAGAGGUUGCUCAUGCCGUCAUGCUGACAUGUAUUUUGCUAAAAUUCUUGGAAGCACUUUUGUUAUUUUUCUUGUAACAUUGUGGACUGUUGAAUUUGUUUUCUUUUCUUGGAAUGCAAUUUAUGUCCUUAAAUACUUGAUUCAUGUGUCCUGUUUUCUUCUGAACACUCAAACGCAGACCGACAGGCACAGUCCUACUGACAUUCUAAUGACCACAUAAAGCUAAUGCUAAAGCUUAACUGGAAGAACCUUGUUACAACGUAAUAUUGUUUUUUAAUCUUCAGCUUGCUUCAAAUCAAAUUUUACAGGAAAUCAGAAAUGAGGUUCACUGACUUUGCUAGACUGCCAGUUAGCUAUAAACAUGUGGUUGUCCUUUCUUGCACAGAGAGCAAUGACAUUUCUAAUUGUACUUAUUUUUUCUUUGAUAUAAAGUGUAUGUGUAAGAAACUGGAAUGUGUUGUGCUUUAUUACUUCUAGUGAUAUAAGAUAACAUAGGUUGGUGUUUAACUGGGGUGGUUCCUAAACCAUUUAUUGACCUAAUAUUUCAUUCAAAAUCAUUUGGGGGAAAAAGUAAGGUUGCUAUAGUCAGCAAUCUGCAGUAUUUUCUCUGCUGUCCACUUUUUGUGCCUAAUAUAUCAGAUAAAUGGUUGUAGAGUGGAGAAUUUAUACGGCAGUAUCCCAAAGCUAUAGGUGACGUUUCUAAGCCAAAAUGAAUUAAAAUGUAUAAUGUAGGUUACUGUUGCAUAACACACGUUUCAUGUUAAACUUCUA
rnacentral:lncRNA from 1 species